UUCUGACCGUAAACGAUGCCAACUAGCGAUCCGCCGGCGGCUUCUUGGCCCUGGUGGGGAGCUUCCCGGAAACGAAAGUCUUCCGGUUCCGGGGGAAGUAUGGUUGCAAAGCUGAAACUUAAAGGAAUUGACGGAAGGGCACCACCAGGAGUGGAGCCUGCGGCUUAAUUUGACUCAACACGGGAAAACUCACCCGGCCCGGACACCGUGAGGAUUGACAGAUUGAUAGCUUUUUCAUGAUUCGGUGGUUGGUGGUGCAUGGCCGUUCUUAGUUCGUGGAUCGAUUUGUCUGGUUUAUUCCGAUAACGAGCGAGACUCCAGCCUACUAACUAGUGCGGGCAUUGCUUCUGUGUUUGUCACUUCUUAGAGGGAUUGGCUGCGUCUAGCGGCACGAAACGGAGCAAUAACAGGUCUGUGAUGCCCUUAGAUGUCCGGGGCUGCACGCGCGCUACACUGGCAAAAGCAGCGUGCUUGUCCGCCUCCGAAAGGAGCCGGUAAACCCUUGAAAAUUUGCCGUGAUUGGGAUCGGAAAUUGCAAUUAUUUUCCGUGAACGAGGAAUUCCUAGUAAGUGCGAGUCAUCAGCUCGCGUUGAUUACGUCCCUGCCCUUUGUACACACCGCCCGUCGCUGCCUAGAACUGAGCCAUUUCGAGAAUAUUCGGGAUCGCUGGUUGCGGGUCUUUCGGGGCCCGCCUCUGGCAAGAGAACGAACGUAAUCGCAGUGGCUUGAACCGGGCAAAAGU
rnacentral:rRNA from 1 species